UACGUAGGGUGCAAGCGUUGUCCGGAAUCAUUGGGCGUAAAGCGCGCGUAGGUGGCUUCGUAAGUCCGUUGUGAAAGUCAAAGGCUCAACCUUUGAAAGCCGAUGGAUACUGUGAAGCUAGAGUACGGAAGAGGCGAGUGGAAUUCCUGGUGUAGCGGUGGAAUGCGCAGAUAUCAGGAGGAACACCAAUAGCGAAGGCAGCUCGCUGGGACGUUACUGACACUGAGGCGCGAAAGCGUGGGGAGCGAACAGG
rnacentral:rRNA from 1 species